GGAUGAACGCUGGCGGCGUGCCUACUACAUGCAAGUCGAGCGAACAGACGAGGAGCUUGCUCCUCUGACGUUAGCGGCGGACGGGUGAGUAACACGUGGAUAACCUACCUAUAAGACUGGGAUAACUUCGGGAAACCGGAGCUAAUACCGGAUAAUAUAUUGAACCGCAUGGUUCAAUAGUGAAAGACGGUUUUGCUGUCACUUAUAGAUGGAUCCGCGCCGCAUUAGCUAGUUGGUAAGGUAACGGCUUACCAAGGCAACGAUGCGUAGCCGACCUGAGAGGGUGAUCGGCCACACUGGAACUGAGACACGGUCCAGACUCCUACGGGAGGCAGCAGUAGGGAAUCUUCCGCAAUGGGCGAAAGCCUGACGGAGCAACGCCGCGUGAGUGAUGAAGGUCUUCGGAUCGUAAAACUCUGUUAUUAGGGAAGAACAAAUGUGUAAGUAACUAUGCACGCCUUGACGGUACCUAAUCAGAAAGCCACGGCUAACUACGUG
rnacentral:rRNA from 1 species